rnacentral:rRNA from 2 species
UUAAGCGACUAAGCGUACACGGUGGAUGCCCUGGCAGUCAGAGGCGAUGAAGGACGUGCUAAUCUGCGAAAAGCGUCGGUAAGGUGAUAUGAACCGUUAUAACCGGCGAUGUCCGAAUGGGGAAACCCAGUGCAAUUCGUUGCACUAUCGUUAACUGAAUACAUAGGUUAACGAGGCGAACCGGGGGAACUGAAACAUCUAAGUACCCCGAGGAAAAGAAAUCAACCGAGAUUCCCCCAGUAGCGGCGAGCGAACGGGGAGCAGCCCAGAGUCUGAAUCAGCUUGUGUGUUAGUGGAACGGUCUGGAAAGUCCGACGGUACAGGGUGAUAGUCCCGUACACCAAAAUGCACAGGUUGUGAACUCGAAGAGUAGGGCGGGACACGUGGUAUCCUGUCUGAAUAUGGGGGGACCAUCCUCCAAGGCUAAAUACUCCUGACUGACCGAUAGUGAACCAGUACCGUGAGGGAAAGGCGAAAAGAACCCCGGCGAGGGGAGUGAAAAAGAACCUGAAACCGUGUACGUACAAGCAGUGGGAGCACCUUCGGGUGUGACUGCGUACCUUUUGUAUAAUGGGUCAGCGACUUAUAUUCUGUAGCAAGGUUAACCGUAUAGGGGAGCCGCAGGGAAACCGAGUCUUAACUGGGCGUUAAGUUGCAGGGUAUAGACCCGAAACCCGGUGAUCUAGCCAUGGGCAGGUUGAAGGUUGGGUAACACUAACUGGAGGACCGAACCGACUAAUGUUGAAAAAUUAGCGGAUGACUUGUGGCUGGGGGUGAAAGGCCAAUCAAACCGGGAGAUAGCUGGUUCUCCCCGAAAGCUAUUUAGGUAGCGCCUCGUGAAUUCAUCUUCGGGGGUAGAGCACUGUUUCGGCUAGGGGGUCAUCCCGACUUACCAACCCGAUGCAAACUACGAAUACCGAAGAAUGUUAUCACGGGAGACACACGGCGGGUGCUAACGUCCGUCGUGAAGAGGGAAACAACCCAGACCGCCAGCUAAGGUCCCAAAGUCAUGGUUAAGUGGGAAACGAUGUGGGAAGGCACAGACAGCCAGGAUGUUGGCUUAGAAGCAGCCAUCAUUUAAAGAAAGCGUAAUAGCUCACUGGUCGAGUCGGCCUGCGCGGAAGAUGUAACGGGGCUAAACCAUGCACCGAAGCUGCGGCAGCGACACUAUGUGUUGUUGGGUAGGGGAGCGUUCUGUAAGCCUGCGAAGGUGACCUGUGAGGGUUGCUGGAGGUAUCAGAAGUGCGAAUGCUGACAUAAGUAACGAUAAAGCGGGUGAAAAGCCCGCUCGCCGGAAGACCAAGGGUUCCUGUCCAACGUUAAUCGGGGCAGGGUGAGUCGACCCCUAAGGCGAGGCCGAAAGGCGUAGUCGAUGGGAAACAGGUUAAUAUUCCUGUACUUGGUGUUACUGCGAAGGGGGGACGGAGAAGGCUAUGUUAGCCGGGCGACGGUUGUCCCGGUUUAAGCAUGUAGGCUGAUUGUCCAGGCAAAUCCGGAUAAUCAAGGCUGAGGUGUGAUGACGAGGCACUACGGUGCUGAAGUAACAAAUGCCCUGCUUCCAGGAAAAGCCUCUAAGCAUCAGGUAACAUCAAAUCGUACCCCAAACCGACACAGGUGGUCAGGUAGAGAAUACCAAGGCGCUUGAGAGAACUCGGGUGAAGGAACUAGGCAAAAUGGUGCCGUAACUUCGGGAGAAGGCACGCUGGUGUGUAGGUGAAGUCCCUGCGGAUGGAGCUGAGACCAGUCGAAGAUACCAGCUGGCUGCAACUGUUUAUUAAAAACACAGCACUGUGCAAACACGAAAGUGGACGUAUACGGUGUGACGCCUGCCCGGUGCCGGAAGGUUAAUUGAUGGGGUUAUCCGUAAGGAGAAGCUCUUGAUCGAAGCCCCGGUAAACGGCGGCCGUAACUAUAACGGUCCUAAGGUAGCGAAAUUCCUUGUCGGGUAAGUUCCGACCUGCACGAAUGGCGUAAUGAUGGCCAGGCUGUCUCCACCCGAGACUCAGUGAAAUUGAACUCGCUGUGAAGAUGCAGUGUACCCGCGGCAAGACGGAAAGACCCCGUGAACCUUUACUAUAGCUUGACACUGAACAUUGAGCCUUGAUGUGUAGGAUAGGUGGGAGGCUUUGAAGCGUGGACGCCAGUCUGCGUGGAGCCAACCUUGAAAUACCACCCUUUAAUGUUUGAUGUUCUAACGUUGGCCCCUUACCGGGGUUGCGGACAGUGUCUGGUGGGUAGUUUGACUGGGGCGGUCUCCUCCCAAAGCGUAACGGAGGAGCACGAAGGUUAGCUAAUCCUGGUCGGACAUCAGGAGGUUAGUGCAAUGGCAUAAGCUAGCUUGACUGCGAGCGUGACGGCGCGAGCAGGUGCGAAAGCAGGUCAUAGUGAUCCGGUGGUUCUGAAUGGAAGGGCCAUCGCUCAACGGAUAAAAGGUACUCCGGGGAUAACAGGCUGAUACCGCCCAAGAGUUCAUAUCGACGGCGGUGUUUGGCACCUCGAUGUCGGCUCAUCACAUCCUGGGGCUGAAGUAGGUCCCAAGGGUAUGGCUGUUCGCCAUUUAAAGUGGUACGCGAGCUGGGUUUAGAACGUCGUGAGACAGUUCGGUCCCUAUCUGCCGUGGGCGCUGGAGAAUUGAGGGGGGCUGCUCCUAGUACGAGAGGACCGGAGUGGACGCAUCACUGGUGUUCGGGUUGUCAUGCCAAUGGCACUGCCCGGUAGCUAAAUGCGGAAGAGAUAAGUGCUGAAAGCAUCUAAGCACGAAACUUGCCCCGAGAUGAGUUCUCCCUGAGACUUUAAGUCUCCUGAAGGAACGUUAAAGACGAUGACGUUGAUAGGCCGGGUGUGUAAGCGCAGCGAUGCGUUGAGCUAACCGGUACUAAUGAACCGUGAGGCUUAACCUU